GGGUAGAGACUUAUCCAGAGAUGCUUUGGUGCCUUCGGGAACUCUGAGACAGGUGCUGCAUGGCUGUCGUCAGCUCGUGUUGUGAAAUGUUGGGUUAAGUCCCGCAACGAGCGCAACCCUUAUCCUUGUUUGCCAGCACUUCAUGUGGGAACUCCCGGGAAAAUGGCCGGGAAUAACCCGAAGAAGGGGGGGAACAACUCCAGUCCUCCUGGGCCCUUCCAAUAAGGGUUCCCCCCUGCUUCCAUGGGCCAUACCGAAGGGGGCCCACUUGCCAAAAUUAACCAAUCCCCAAAAGUGCGUCCUAAUCCGGAAUGGAAUCUGGCACUCCACUUCCUGAAAUCCGAAUCCCUUGUAAUCCUAAAAUAAAAUGGUUCCGGGAAAAACUUCCCCGGUCUGAACCCCCCCGAA
rnacentral:rRNA from 1 species